rnacentral:rRNA from 1 species
UACGAAGGGGGCUAGCGUUGCUCGGAAUCACUGGGCGUAAAGGGUGCGUAGGCGGGUUUGUAAGUCAGGGGUGAAAUCCUGGAGCUCAACUCCAGAACUGCCUUUGAUACUGAAGAUCUUGAGUCCGGGAGAGGUGAGUGGAACUGCGAGUGUAGAGGUGAAAUUCGUAGAUAUUCGCAAGAACACCAGUGGCGAAGGCGGCUCACUGGCCCGGUACUGACGCUGAGGCACGAAAGCGUGGGGAGCAAACAGG